rnacentral:rRNA from 1 species
CCUACGGGGGGCAGCAGUGGGGAAUAUUGCGCAAUGGGGGAAACCCUGACGCAGCAACGCCGCGUGCAGGAAGAAGGUCUUCGGAUUGUAAACUGUUGUCGCAGGGGAAGAAGACAGUGACGGUACCCUGUGAGAAAGUCACGGCUAACUACGUGCCAGCAGCCGCGGUAAUACGUAGGUGACAAGCGUUGUCCGGAUUUACUGGGUGUAAAGGGCGCGUAGGCGGGAUAGCAAGUCAGUCGUGAAAUGCCGAGGCUUAACCGUGGAGCUGCGGUUGAAACUGUUAUUUUUGGGUAUCGGGGGAGAAAGGGGGAUUCCCUGGGUGAGCGGGGAAAGGGGAAGAUAU